UUAUUUAAGGACCAGAUUCCUGUGUCUAUGAAGCUGUAAAGUCCCAGUGAAGGAACUUUUCCUAAUUCCCACAUUGCCUCUGGCCCUCAUCAUAUGGCACUGAAUAUUUUGCCUGUCAUGUACCUGUCUGUAUUACCUGUUGUUACUCAGACUGACAGCAUGGAUUCAGUGGUGGAACAAGUCCCAAGCUCAGCUGGUGAAACACAAGAUUUCUGACAUGAGCCCAACCC
rnacentral:lncRNA from 1 species